rnacentral:rRNA from 1 species
CUACGUGCCAGCAGCCGCGGUAAUACGUAGGGCGCGAGCGUUGUCCGGAAUUAUUGGGCGUAAAGAGCUUGUAGGCGGUUUGUCGCGUCUGCUGUGAAAGGCCGGGGCUUAACUCCGUGUAUUGCAGUGGGUACGGGCAGACUAGAGUGCAGUAGGGGAGACUGGAAUUCCUGGUGUAGCGGUGGAAUGCGCAGAUAUCAGGAGGAACACCGAUGGCGAAGGCAGGUCUCUGGGCUGUAACUGACGCUGAGAAGCGAAAGCAUGGGGAGCGAACAGGAUUAGAUACCCUGGUAGUCCAUGCCGUAAACGAUGAGUGCUAGGUGUUAGACCCUUUCCGGGGUUUAGUGCCGUAGCUAACGCAUUAAGCACUCCGCCUGGGGAGUACGACCGCAAGGUUGAAACUCAAAGGAAUUGACGGGGGCCCGCACAAGCGGUGGAGCAUGUGGUUUAAUUCGAAGCAACGCGAAGAACCUUACCAGGUCUUGACAUCCCUCUGACCGCUCUAGAGAUAGAGCUUUC